rnacentral:rRNA from 1 species
AUUGAACGCUGGCGGCAGGCCUAACACAUGCAAGUCGAGCGAGCGGCGGACGGGUGAGUAAUGUCUGGGAAACUGCCUGAUGGAGGGGGAUAACUACUGGAAACGGUAGCUAAUACCGCAUACCAUCCGAUGUGACCAGAUGGGAUUGGCCAGUAGGUGGGGUAACGGCUCACCUAGGCGACGAUCCCUAGCUGGUCUGAGAGGAAGACCAGCCACACUGGAACUGAGGCACCGUCCAGCCUCCGACGGGAGGCAGCAGUGGGGAAUAUUGCACAGUGGGCGCAAGCCGGAUGCAGCCAUGCUGCGUGUAUGAAGAAGGUCUGCGGAUUGUAAUGCACUUUAAGGUGGGAGGCGUUACCAACAGAAUAAGCACCGGCUAACUUCGUGCCAGCAGCCGCGGUAAUUC